AUUGAACGCUGGCGGCAGGCCUAACACAUGCAAGUCGAGCGGAUGAAGGGAGCUUGCUCCUGGAUUCAGCGGCGGACGGGUGAGUAAUGCCUAGGAAUCUGCCUGGUCGUGGGGGAUAACGUCCGGAAACGGGCGCUAAUACCGCAUACGUCCUGAGGGAGAAAGUGGGGGAUCUUCGGACCUCACGCUAUCAGAUGAGCCUAGGUCGGAUUAGCUAGUUGGUGGGGUAAAGGCCUACCAAGGCGACGAUUCGUAACUGGUCUGAGAGGAUGAUCAGUCACACUGGAACUGAGACACGGUCCAGACUCCUACGGGAGGCAGCAGUGGGGAAUAUUGGACAAAGGGCGAAAGCCUGAUCCAGCCAUGCCGCGUGUGUGAAGAAGGUCUUCGGAUUGUAAAGCACUUUAAGUUGGGAGGAAGGGCAGUAAGUUAAUACCUUGCUGUUUUGACGUUACCAACAGAAUAAGCACCGGCUAACUUCGUG
rnacentral:rRNA from 1 species